rnacentral:rRNA from 1 species
GAUCCUGGCUCAGGAUGAACGCUGGCGGCGUGCUUAACACAUGCAAGUCGAGCGAAGCACUUAAGUUCGAUUCUUCGGAUGAAGACUUUUGUGACUGAGCGGCGGACGGGUGAAGGUAACGCGUGGGUAACCUGCCUCAUACAGGGGGAUAACAGUUAGAAAUGGCUGCUAAUACCGCAUAAGACCACAGUACUGCAUGGUACAGUGGUAAAAACUCCGGUGGUAUGAGAUGGACCCGCGU